rnacentral:rRNA from 1 species
AGGCUUCGGCUUAGCGUCUUAG